UACGGAGGGGGCUAGCGUUGUUCGGAAUUACUGGGCGUAAAGCGCACGUAGGCGGCUUUGUAAGUUAGAGGUGAAAGCCCGGGGCUCAACUCCGGAAUUGCCUUUAAGACUGCAUCGCUAGAAUUGUGGAGAGGUGAGUGGAAUUCCGAGUGUAGAGGUGAAAUUCGUAGAUAUUCGGAAGAACACCAGUGGCGAAGGCGACUCUUUGGUCUGUAACUGACGCUGAGGCGCGAAAGCGUGGGGAGCAAACAGG
rnacentral:rRNA from 1 species